GGUAGGAUGGCCGAGGGGUAGGCGGCGGAUUGUAGCUCCGUAUACAGAGGUUUGAGUCCUCUUCCUGCCA
rnacentral:tRNA from 1 species